rnacentral:sRNA from 1 species
UUAGCCUCCCCAGUAGCUGGGACUACAGGCAUGUGCCACCAUGCCCUGCUAAUUUUUGUAUUUUUUGUAGAGACAGGGUCUCGCCACGUUGCCCAGGCUGGUUGGGAACUCCUGGGCUCAAGCGAUCCACUUGCUUUGACCUCCCAAAGUGCUGGGAGUACAGAUGUGAGCCACCGCACCCAGCAUGUAUUUUAAAUGUUUUAUAAUGAACACAUAUUACUUUUAAAAUCAGGAUAAGACAAAACUAAAAAACCUUGUUUAUGUAUAAAAGGCAUAGCUGAGAACGUGAACGUGAUGCAGGUAACUCACUCCGACCUCAUUUGUUGCAGGCCCAGGUGUUUUCAGCCACACCUUUGACAAGGUGAACACUAAAGCAGGGCUGACUCCAGCUGCAUGAGCCUGGUGACCAACUCCUUUCUCUGACAGUCACUUCUUGGAUGGAGUUGCUGCCAAUGGCUUUGGCCACGGGGACCCAGACCGUCAAGAGGCCUGCUGCAACCCUGAAGAGUCCUCCCACAGUCUGGCUCCAGGACCACAACAUUGGCACACUCCUUUCUACCUGGCUUUGUUUUCUGUGUGUGUUUUGUAGGUAGCCUGGUAGACUCGUCUGGUCAUAUCCUGGUCCCUGGAAUCUAUGAUGAAGUGGUUCGUCUUACAGAAGAGGAAAUAAAUACAUACAAAGCCAUCCAUCUAGACCUAGAAGAAUACCGGAAUAGCAGCCAGAUUGAGAAAUUUCUGUUCGAUACUAAGGUAUGGCCACAGACUGAUGGAUAAGCUGAAAGAGGCAUGAGGCUAGUAUAUCAUAUUUGCCCUCUGUCUAAGUCAUUGUCUGGUGCUAAUCUCCGUAUCUUAGAAUCCAAAGCAGAUGUGAAUUCCCAGGCAUAUUUUUGACAUUCACAGCCACUUCCCCGUGGCCUGGAUCAACCAGUCCUUUUUCAAUGGGGUCUAAUUGGCACUGGCUUCUGGCACUUAACCACAAGCAGUUACCCAUUUCCCAGCCAUGUUUUCCAAAGCUGUUCAUUAACCUAAAUCCCACGUCAGCCUUCAGCCAGUGAGCUGGACUUCUUACCUUUUCAAAGACCAAGAAAAGUCUGAGAUGAUUCCAGCUCCAAGACCUCUAACUGUUCAUUUUUCCAGACAAAACCAAGAGCCUUAGGGGCUAAUCUGUAAGUGAAUACAUCAUUGCCUCAGUGGACUAAGUAAAUACAAAGCUGAAAACAUUCCUUAUAGGCAAAUUUAGAAUUGUUUUGUUUUUCUCCUCUUCCUCUUUCUGGGCAGCAUGCUUGCCUGACAAGGUGUUUGGUAGCUAGGGCUGGUUCCUGGGGAAGGGGCUGAGAGGGGGAAAAGCCAGCUGAAAAGAAGUGGUAGAGUGAAUUAUUAUGAAGCAGGCAUCUUCUUGCAGACCAGCUCCAGGAUGGCCAGAAGAAGGAAAACUGGCUUAAACAUCUGAAGAGUUAUUUGAUGUCUGCUGAAUAAGAAAAUGCUUUCAUUACAUAAGUUAUUGUAAUUUGGGGUUAGAAAUUUAUAAUUGAACCCACAUUUCUGAAAGGGCUCCUUUAUCUAUGGCCAUACCACAUUGAACGUGCCCGAUCUCGUUUGAAAGGGCCCCUUUGCCAUUUGUUAACUGAAAACUGCAGAUCUUGGGCAAAGAGGGGCACUCAUCAAUGGGGAGCAUUGGUAGUGAUGGGUAGUGAAGGCAUCUGAGGACAGCAGAGAGUUUGUGUCCUGAGGAAAAAGUCCUUGCGUGAGGCACAGCUGAGUAAGGUGACACUUAACGUGUCCUGAAUGGUGUCUCAGAGAGGCAGAGGGUGGUAACACAAGCAACCCAGGUCCACUGGGUUCUAAUUAAGCAUCCUUUGGAUAAUUUUAUUUUAAUAUAGGAGGAGAUUCUAAUGCACCUCUGGAGGUACCCAUCUCUUUCUAUUCAUGGGAUCGAGGGCGCGUUUGAUGAGCCUGGAGCUAAAACAGUCAUACCUGGCCGAGUUAUAGGAAAAUUUUCAAUCCGUCUAGUCCCUCACAUGAAUGUGUCUGUGGUGGAAAAACAGGUGACACGGCAUCUUGAAGAUGUGUUCUCCAAAAGAAAUAGUUCCAACAAGAUGGUUGUUUCCAUGGCUCUAGGCCUACACCCGUGGAUUGCAAAUAUUAACGACACCCAGUAUCUCGCAGCAAAAAGAGCGAUCAGAACAGUGUUUGGAACAGAACCAGAUAUGAUCCGGGAUGGAUCCACCAUUCCAAUUGCCAAAAUGUUCCAGGAGAUCGUCCACAAGAGCGUGGUGCUAAUUCCGCUGGGAGCUGUUGAUGAUGGAGAACACUCGCAGAAUGAGAAAAUCAACAGGUCAGCUGAUGCCUGUGCAAUGUGCCUCUCUCUUCUUCCUUUACUGCACACACCCGGGUCUACACGUGGGUGAGCUCCUGUUCAAUUUAUGCGAGAAUGGAAAAUCGUCCAGACUGGGGGCUUAAAGAGCAGACAUUCAUUCCUCACAGUUCUGGAGCCUGGAUGCCCUAGAUCAGGUGCCAGGCCAUUUGGAUCCUGCUGGGUAUGGGCUGUCUUCCUGGCCGUCCCUGUGAUGGCGGGGUUAGGUGGUUCUGGUGUCUCUCUUUUUAUAAGAGCACCAGACCCAUUGGAUUAGGACCCCCAUUUUAACCUCAUUUAACCUUUAUUAUCUCCUCCAGGCCCUGUCUCCAAAUACGGACACACUGGGGGGUUAGGGGUUCAACAUAGGACUUUGAGGAAACACAAAUGUUUAGUGCAUAACAAAAAAGGCUAUUAGGAAUGUUUGCUUUAUGCGCUACUGGCAGAUACUACAAGAUCUCCUAAGCAUCCCAGACUAGUGAGAAACAAGAAAUUGUUUGACCCUGAUAUCCAUAUCAGUGAUAAGAAAUCAAGGAAAAUUGACUUUUGGAUUUGAGUCUAGGACUGAUUCUCAUCUUCUUAAUAAUAAUAAUGCAAUUUUCACAUGGAGCUUACUAAGUGCUUUUCAUACUGGAAUCUCAGAAGUAUGCCAAAUAAUUUAAAUGGAAUUUAUAACAUCAAAUCUUCCUGUCUAAAUGACAGAAUAUUUUUCCUCCUUCAUUUGAAUGGAAAUUGUAACAAAAUUUCUCUUUGUUUUUCCUCUUCUUAGGUGGAACUACAUAGAGGGAACCAAAUUAUUUGCUGCCUUUUUCUUAGAGAUGGCCCAGCUCCAUUAAUCACAAGAACCUUCUAGUCUGAUCUGAUCCACUGACAGAUUCACCUCCCCCACAUCCCUAGACAGGGAUGGAAUCUAAAUAUCCAGAGAAUUUGGGUCUAGUAUAGUACAUUUUCCCUUCCAUUUAAAAUGUCUUGGGAUAUCUGGAUCAAUAAUAAAAUAUUUCAAAGGCACAGAUGUUGGAAAUGGUUUAAGGUCCCCCACUGCACACCUUCCUCAAGUCAUAGCUACUUGCAGCAACUUGAUUUCCCCAAGUCCUGUGCAAUAGCCCCAGGAUUGGAUUCCUUCUAACCUUUUAGCAUGUCUCCAACCUUGCAAUUUGAUUGGCAUAAUCACUCCGGUUUGCUUUCUAGGUCCUCAAGUGCUCGUGACACAUAAUCAUUCCAUCCAAUGAUCGCCUUUGCUUUACCACUCUUUCCUUUUAUCUUAUUAAUAAAAAUGUUGGUCUCC